rnacentral:lncRNA from 1 species
AAAGUAGCUAAACUUAGCAGAAUUAUUGUUAACACUAAUAAGAUCGUUAAAUUGAAUUAAAAUUUUACUUAAAUAUAGUAAAUUUUUUUUUAAAAAAAAACAAACAUAGUGAAUGACAAAUAUAUAUUUUCAUAAAGUUUAACUUUCAUAUGCUGUUACUAUAAAAGUCCUAAUAUUUUUAAAUAUAUCCUUGCCGUUAUAAUUCGUUAGAAAAUUUUAAUUAACGAUAGAUUGAAUACUUAAUUCUGGUUAGUUUUUGACAUUUUUAUUUUUUUUUAUAUUAUACUAUUAUGACUUUUAGAGAGACAUAUUUGUGAUGACAAAAUCGAAAAUAUAGUUCUCCAACAAUAAUAAACCAGAAAAAUAUAUUUGAAAAUAUUAGAACUUUUGUAGAGACACCAUAUGAAAAUUGAAUUUUGUAGAAAUAUAUUUUUCAUUCACUAUGUUUAUAGGAACCUGUAUAAAAUUAACCCUAGAAUUAAAUACAAUUUUACCUACAUUUAAUAUUUUUUUAUUAUUAUUUUAAAAUGUACCAGUACAUCGGGAUAACAUCCAAUAUCCAAUUUA